AUGAGCUCCAUGGACGACACCACCCAUGGAGGCCUCUUUGUUGAGGAAUCGAAGUCGUGGCCGGAGGUGGUGGGGAAGUCCAUCAAGGAGGCCGGGGAGAUCAUUCUCAAGGACAAGCAUGAUGAUGAUAUCGUCGUCCUCCCAGCAGGGGCACAGGUCGCCCUGGACUUGAGGCCCAAAUGUGUGCCCAUCUUUGUCGACACCGUGGCCGAAACACCUUUUACUGGCUAG
rnacentral:rRNA from 1 species